rnacentral:rRNA from 1 species
UCGGGAAUAUUGCGCAAUGGAGGAAACUCUGACGCAGUGACGCCGCGUGCAGGAAGAAGGUUUUAGGAUUGUAAACUGCUUUAGACAGGGAAGAAAAAAGACAGUACCUGUAGAAUAAGCUCCGGCUAACUACGUGCCAGCAGCCGCGGUAAUACGUAGGGAGCAAGCGUUAUCCGGAUUUAUUGGGUGUAAAGGGUGCGUAGACGGGAAUACAAGUUGGUUGUGAAAUCCCUCGGCUCAACCGAGGAACUGCAACCAAAACUAUAUUUCUUGAGUGCUGGAGAGGAAAGUGGAAUUCCUAGUGUAGCGGUGAAAUGCGUAGAUAUUAGGAGGAACACCGGUGGCGAAGGCGACUUUCUGGACAGUAACUGACGUUGAGGCACGAAAGUGUGGGGAGCAAACAGGAUUAGAUACC